rnacentral:lncRNA from 1 species
CUUGACUUCAGAAGAAGGGGAUGAGGACAGCACAUUGCUGUAUGCUAUUUCUCUGGGGAACGGACAGCUCUAGAUUUGAGAGGUGAGAGAGCAGAAUGUGUCUGCUUCAUAGAACAGGAUCAACUGUCUCUCAACACCAAUGAGCCGUUCUCCGCCACAGAUCUCUCUCCCAGGCCAUGACUCUCCACCAGGUCAUUGUUGUGAGAGAAUUCUAUGUACCCCUGGGGGUACUUCGCAAAAAAGACUUCACAAGAAAGAAAUACUUUCAAUUUAAAACCCAACAGGAUGAUAUUGAGUGGUCCCCUUCCAAUGGGACGGACAAUAAAGAAAACAAGGAGCUCAG